ensembl:lncRNA
CAGAGUUUGCUCAAACUCAUGUCCACUGAGUCAGUGAUGCUGCAAACAGUAGAGCUCACAAAUAAUUCUGGACCAGGGGACUUUAAGGGGAGGUGCUCAGUGACAGGGAAGAGGAAUCAAGCUGGGAAAAUUUGCCACACUUGUUCCUGGCAGCACCUUCCCUUGGGCCUUGGCAGACACAGCAGGAAGACAACCAAACCCUCCCCACAGGUUCUAGACUGGACACAGUAUCCAAAUAUUCAGCCCCUGGCUCCUAACAUCUCUGAGGCUGCAACAUGCCUUUGAAUGACUUGAGAAAGCAUUCCUGCAGAAAGGGCACCCGCUACACCCAUGUGAUUCAUCCUGGAGGGCCUCUCCCCUGACAUCCACCUGGAGGUUGCCCCGUGUGGAGUCUGGACCCCCACCUCCCAUCCGUGCCUGGCCCUUCUCCCUCCCGACUCUCUGACACUUGCUGUGUUAAGUGACCCAGCCCCUCCCCAGGAAAACUGACUGGUCUCUACCUCUGUCUCUCUCUUACCCACAGCUGGGUCUGCAACAGCCUGCUCCCGGACUAGACAGCCCAGCCCACUCCACUUCCUAACUCAGGCUCCUAGACCCUGAACCUGAGGGCCUGUCAUGAUGCCAGAGUCUGCUUGGAUGACAUUAUUUCUAUCAUCCUCUUGCUCACUGGGCAAGAGGAGAAGGGGAUGACAGAGGAGAUGGUUGGAUGGCAUCACGGACUCAAUCGCCAUGAGUCUGAGCAAACUCCAGGAGACAGUGAAGGACGGAGGAACCUGGCGUGCUGCAGUCCAUGGGGUCGCAGAGAAUCAGACAUGACUGAGCGACUGCACAACAACUUUCUCACUGUAAAUUCUCUUACCACUUUGCCCUUUUGCUGCUCCUGCUGGGCCAAACCCCAGCCCCAGAUGGCUGUGGGGCAGAAUCGCUCCAACAAAGGGUCCGGUGUUUCCCUGUGGUGCGUUUCCUUCCCCCUCUCCCGCUUGUGCUCAAAAUCCCCUUCCAUCCCUCACUCGCAAGGCUGUUUUCCAUUUCCCCAGAGAUGGAGGGAAGAGAGACCGCAGCGACCAAAGGAGGACCAUGGGGUGGGCGGGGUUGAAGGGGAGGAAAGAGACUGCAGUGCUCACUGGUGCUCAGCAGUACUCCAUCGUGAACCUCCCUUGCCCUCACAAGGCCUUGGCUGACCUGUAGACACCCUCUGCUGGCCCACUGAGGCAGGGAGCUUGGCUGCCCUACAGUGCUGGACUCAGGAGAACAGACCACGAAGAUCAGGAGUCAGCGUUGGGCACGUAGAAGGCUAGGUCCCUGAAGACAUCCAGGAGGAGAUGAGAAGGCCAGUGGAUAGACUGAUCUGGAAUCUGGGAGAAUGAUCUUGGUAAACGACUUAACUUGAGAACAAAGUCUAGGUUAUGGGAUCAAAUGUGACCACUCAGGAAAUAUGUAUGAAGGAGAAGAGAGGCCGGAAAUGGAGCUUUGAGAAAUACCACACCUACAGGAUAGGGGUGCUGGUGGUAAAGAAUCUGUCUGCUAAUGAAGGAGACACAGGAGACGCACGAGUUGAGGGUUUGAUCCCUGGGUCGGGAAGAUCCCCUGGAGGAGGAAAUGGCAACCACUCCAGUAUUCUUGCCUGGGAAAUUCCAUGGACAGAGGAGCCUGGCAGUCUGCAGUCCAUGGGGUUGCAAAGAGUUGCACACGACUGAGCACACUCACACUCACACACACACACACAUACAGGAUAGUCAUUGGAAGAAGAGCUUUUCUGAGUUUUCCUGUCUGUAAAGUGGAUAUGAUGAUGCAAGUUGCUGUAAAGAUAUAAUAAACACUUAAUAUGUCACUUAAUAUAUAACACUUAA